rnacentral:rRNA from 1 species
UACAGGAGGGUGCAAGCGUUGUUCGGAAUUACUGGGCGUAAAGCGCGUGUAGGCUGCAAUGUAAGUCGAACGUGAAAGCCCUCAGCUUAACUGAGGAAGUGCGUUUGAUACUGCAUCGCUUGAGGUGUCGGAGGGGAUGGCGGAAUUCCCGGUGUAGAGGUGAAAUUCGUAGAUAUCGGGAGGAACACCUGUGGCGAAGGCGGCCAUCUGGACGACGACUGACGCUGAG